UACGGAGGGAGCUAGCGUUAUUCGGAAUUACUGGGCGUAAAGCGCACGUAGGCGGCUUUGUAAGUAAGAGGUGAAAGCCCAGAGCUCAACUCUGGAAUUGCCUUUUAGACUGCAUCGCUUGAAUCAUGGAGAGGUCAGUGGAAUUCCGAGUGUAGAGGUGAAAUUCGUAGAUAUUCGGAAGAACACCAGUGGCGAAGGCGGCUGACUGGACAUGUAUUGACGCUGAGGUGGCGAAAGCGUGGGGAGCAAACAGGAUUGAG
rnacentral:rRNA from 1 species